rnacentral:tRNA from 2 species
AGGGCAGUAGCUCAAUUGGUAGAGCACCGGUCUCCAACACCGACGGUUGGGGGUUCAAGUCCCUCCUGCCCUGC